AGUGAACGCUGGCGGUAGGCCUAACACAUGCAAGUCGAACGGCAGCACAGUAAGAGCUUGCUCUUACGGGUGGCGAGUGGCGGACGGGUGAGGAAUACAUCGGAAUCUACUUUUUCGUGGGGGAUAACGUAGGGAAACUUACGCUAAUACCGCAUACGACCUACGGGUGAAAGCAGGGGAUCUUCGGACCUUGCGCGAUUGAAUGAGCCGAUGUCGGAUUAGCUAGUUGGCGGGGUAAAGGCCCACCAAGGCGACGAUCCGUAGCUGGUCUGAGAGGAUGAUCAGCCACACUGGAACUGAGACACGGUCCAGACUCCUACGGGAGGCAGCAGUGGGGAAUAUUGGACAAGGGGCGCAAGCCUGAUCCAGCCAUACCGCGUGGGUGAAGAGGCCUUCGGGUUGUAAAGCCCUUUUGUUGGGAAAGAAAAGCAGCAGGUUAAUACCCCGCUGUUCUGACGGUACCCAAAGAAUAAGCACCGGCUAACUUCGUG
rnacentral:rRNA from 1 species